rnacentral:rRNA from 1 species
AUGAGCUAUUGCUGCCGCUCUGCUGAAAUGGCGCCCUCCACCACCACCGGUGCUGUCCCAGUCCCACGGUGUCCUGUUAUCUUCAACGGACAGAACUACAGGGAAUGGGUGCAGCACAUGAAGUUGCACAUGAGGGGCCAGCUGGUCUGGGAGCACCUCUCUGGUGCUCUGCCUUGUCCCUUUCUGCCCACUCCUCCAGCUGAGUUGGCCUUCCCUGUUGAUGCCGAUGAAACCAAGCAACGUGAGAUGCUAGAUGCUUUUGAAGAGGCCACUGAAGAGUAUCAGAAUCGAUUCCACUUGUACAAGCAAUGGAAAAAUGAUGAUGCUCGAGCCUCUUCUAUCUUGGUGAACAACAUGGAUGUUGAUCUCACCAUGGAUGUGGUGGCCCUUACCACUGCAUAUCAGAUGUGGGAGCACCUUCGCCAUCGCUAUGAGUCUACAGGGGAUGCCAUGUAUCUCUCUAUUGUUCGUCAAGAGCAACAACUGUAA